rnacentral:rRNA from 1 species
AGAGUUUGAUCCUGGCUCAGAUUGAACGCUGGCGGCAUGCCUUACACAUGCAAGUCGAACGGCAGCGCGGACUUCGGUCUGGCGGCGAGUGGCGAACGGGUGAGUAAUACAUCGGAACGUACCCUGUUGUGGGGGAUAACUAGUCGAAAGAUUAGCUAAUACCGCAUACGACCUGAGGGUGAAAGUGGGGGACCGCAAGGCCUCACGCAGCAGGAGCGGCCGAUGUCUGAUUAGCUAGUUGGUGGGGUAAAGGCCCACCAAGGCGACGAUCAGUAGCUGGUCUGAGAGGACGAUCAGCCACACUGGGACUGAGACACGGCCCAGACUCCUACGGGAGGCAGCAGUGGGGAAUUUUGGACAAUGGGGCAACCCUGAUCCAGCAAUGCCGCGUGUGUGAAGAAGGCCUUCGGGUUGUAAAGCACUUUUGUCCGGAAAGAAAUCGCGCUGGUUAAUACCUGGCGUGGAUGACGGUACCGGAAGAAUAAGCACCGGCUAACUACGUG